GGAUCGUUAGCUCAACGGCAGAGCACCCGGUUCUUACCCGGCGAGAUGAGGGUUUAAAUCCUUCACGGUCCACCA
rnacentral:tRNA from 1 species